rfam:Myotis davidii contig69225, whole genome shotgun sequence.
GGCAGUUCUCAAGUGAUGCACCCCUGAAUUGGGCUCCUCCUCUCUGGUUCCAGGUGUGUCACCUGAGAACCACA